rnacentral:lncRNA from 1 species
CCCUGGUGCAGCAGGCCCGGCAUGGGGCCACUGCCCAGUCCUGUACUGGUGGAGAGCUCCAGCUCUGGAGCCUGCCAGACUCGAGGCUCCUUCGUCUGCUCAGGGGAGGCAAUAAUAGCACCAGCCUCCCAGGUUGUUAAUGGAAAAUACACGUGUGCCAGCGCCCUCUAAACCCCUCAAGGACUGUAGCUCUUGUUCAGGACUCUUGACCUCCCAGCCCUCUCCCUGUGCCUGCCCUCACCCCCACAGCAGCCGGUGGGAUCCCCUGAAACCUUGCG